rnacentral:rRNA from 1 species
UACGUAGGGGGCAAGCGUUGUCCGGAAUUAUUGGGCGUAAAGAGCGUGUAGGCGGUCCGGUAAGUCGGCUGUGAAAGUCCAGGGCUCAACCCUGGGAUGCCGGUCGAUACUGCCGGACUAGAGUUCGGAAGAGGAGUCUGGAAUUCCUGGUGUAGCGGUGAAAUGCGCAGAUAUCAGGAGGAACACCGGUGGCGAAGGCGGGACUCUGGGCCGAUACUGACGCUGAGGAGCGAAAGCGUGGGGAGCAAACAGG